rnacentral:rRNA from 1 species
UACGUAGGGGGCAAGCGUUGUCCGGAAUUAUUGGGCGUAAAGAGCGUGUAGGCGGCUUGGUAAGUCCGCUGUGAAAGUCCAGGGCUCAACCCUGGAAAGCCGGUGGAAACUGUCAAGCUUGAGUCCGGAAGAGGCGAGUGGAAUUCCUGGUGUAGCGGUGAAAUGCGCAGAUAUCAGGAGGAACACCAAUGGCGAAGGCAGCUCGCUGGGACGGUACUGACGCUGAGACGCGAAAGCGUGGGGAGCAAACAGG